UCUGUCAAUGGUACCGGACUGAGCGUUUUUUGCGAAGGAGGAUAAGGAAUUGACAGAUUUACUUUG
rnacentral:sRNA from 1 species